AUGGUCAGACGACCGUUGGGGGUGGGGGUGGGGGUACGGGGGGCGACGAGUGGUGCCUUUCCAGCUCGAAUCCAACGGCUAGCGCUCACUAGCCGUUGGUUUUAAAGAGGGGCCGUCUGCAGGCAAUGUAUCCGUUAUUUGCCGUCUUCCCUCUCGUCGUCCAAAAUUCUCUUGGAUUUGGUUCCUUUUUCUCCCCGUCGCCGUCCGCGUCCUCUCCCUCUCCCUCCGCCGAAGAAGGAGAACGAUAGCGAGAGAGAGAGAGAGAGAGAGGAGGGGGN
rnacentral:lncRNA from 1 species